rnacentral:rRNA from 1 species
AAUGAACGCUGGCGGCGUGCCUAACACAUGCAAGUCGUGCGAGAAAGUCUCCUUCGGGGGACGAGUACAGCGGCGCACGGGUGAGUAACGCGUGGACAACCUACCCGAGGGACCGGGAUAACUCCGCGAAAGCGGUGCUAAUACCGGAUGGUCUGCACACUUUUAUCGGGUGUGUAGUAAAGGUGGCCUCUAUAUAUAAGCUACCGCCUUUGGAUGGGUCCGCGUCCCAUUAGCUGGUUGGUGAGGUAACGGCUCACCAAGGCAACGAUGGGUAGCUGGUCUGAGAGGAUGAUCAGCCACACUGGGACUGGAACACGGCCCAGACUCCUACGGGAGGCAGCAGUGGGGAAUAUUGGGCAAUGGGGGCAACCCUGACCCAGCGACGCCGCGUGUGGGAAGAAGGCCUUCGGGUCGUAAACCACUGUCAGGAGGGAAGAAGUGGUUUGUCCUGAACAGGGACUUUCCUUGACGGUACCUCCAGAGGAAGCACCGGCUAACUCCGUG